CGCAGCACAAUGAGGAGGAGGGGAAGGAAUCAUCGGACAGUGUAUGCUCCGGCGUCCCGCUCCAAGUGCAGCCAGGGAACAAUUGUUGUGGGCUUGAAAUCUCAUAAUUACACGGGGACACAAGAAGACAGGGACAGGCGAAACGCACAUUUCAGCAUGGCGCACCUCGAGAGCUCCUUACUGACAGAUGCCGCGCUUUCCACUCCGAGGUUUUCGGAGCUCUGCUUUCUGAAUGCAACAUCAUUCAUGGAACGACCACGGCAUACCACGCGCAGACUAACGGGCUCACAGAACGGCUUACCUGCGGACUGGGUGAUAUGAUCUCGAUGUACGUGGCAUCUGAGCAAGCCCUGUCUUCUGACAGUAAGUCCCAGAAGUGACGGUGCUUGCCCGGGCAACUGCUUAUGUGCUGUCGGACCGGGUAAUCAUAACAGGAAUGGAACUUGCAAGAAUGCUGAUUAGUAAAAAAUUUGAAAAAUAAAGUAUGUACUGAAGUA
rnacentral:lncRNA from 1 species